AACGAACGCUGGCGGCAUGCCUAACACAUGCAAGUCGAACGAGACCUUCGGGUCUAGUGGCGCACGGGUGCGUAACGCGUGGGAAUCUGCCCUUGGGUUCGGAAUAACAGUUAGAAAUGACUGCUAAUACCGGAUAAUGUCUUCGGACCAAAGAUUUAUCGCCCAGGGAUGAGCCCGCGUAGGAUUAGCUAGUUGGUGAGGUAAAGGCUCACCAAGGCGACGAUCCUUAGCUGGUCUGAGAGGAUGAUCAGCCACACUGGGACUGAGACACGGCCCAGACUCCUACGGAGGCAGCAGUGGGGGAAUAUUGGACAAUGGGCGAAGCCUGAUCCAGCAAUGCCGCGUGAGUGAUGAAGGCCUUAGGGUUGUAAAGGCUCUUUUUACCCGGGAUGAUAAUGACAGUACCGGG
rnacentral:rRNA from 1 species